rnacentral:ncRNA from 4 species
UCCAAGGAAGGCAGCAGGCGCGCA